rnacentral:rRNA from 1 species
CUUCUCGCUGACGAGCGGCGGACGGGUGAGUAAUGCGUAGGAAUCUACCCUUUUGUGGGGGAUAGCCCGGAGAAAUCCGGAUUAAUACCGCAUAAGCUCUUCGGAGGAAAGUGGGGGAUCUUCGGACCUCACGCUGAAGGAUGAGCCUACGUUGGAUUAGCUUGUUGGUGGGGUAAAGGCCUACCAAGGCGACGAUCCAUAGCUGGUCUGAGAGGAUGAUCAGCCACACCGGGACUGAGACACGGCCCGGACUCCUACGGGAGGCAGCAGUGGGGAAUAUUGGACAAUGGGCGCAAGCCUGAUCCAGCCAUGCCGCGUGUGUGAAGAAGGCUCUAGGGUUGUAAAGCACUUUAAGCAGGGAAGAAACGCUGUUGGUUAAUAACCAUCAGUACUGACGGUACCUGCAGAAUAAGCACCGGCUAACUCCGUGCCAGCAGCCGCGGUAAUACGGAGGGUGCAAGCGUUAAUCGGAUUUACUGGGCGUAAAGCGUGCGUAGGCGGCUACGUAAGUCAGUUGUGAAAGCCCCGGGCUUAACCUGGGAACUGCAAUUGAUACUGCGUGGCUAGAAUUCGGUAGAGGAAGGUGGAACUCCAGGUGUAGCGGUGAAAUGCGUAGAUAUCUGGAAGAACAUCAAUGGCGAAGGCAACCU